rnacentral:rRNA from 1 species
UACGAAGGGGGCUAGCGUUGCUCGGAAUCACUGGGCGUAAAGCGCACGUAGGCGGAUUGUUAAGUCAGGGGUGAAAUCCUGGAGCUCAACUCCAGAACUGCCUUUGAUACUGGCGAUCUCGAGUCCGGGAGAGGUGAGUGGAACUCCGAGUGUAGAGGUGAAAUUCGUAGAUAUUCGGAAGAACACCAGUGGCGAAGGCGGCUCACUGGCCCGGUA